UCCCAGCAGCAUGGCGAAGAAAGAACACAAACCUUUCAGAUCUGUUUCCAUCUUUAAACCUCUGGCACCACCUGUCCUGCCCUGCCCUUUCUCUCAGCUGUCAGCUUUGCUUUCCAUUCCACUGGGAAAAUCCAUGCAGUCAGAUGAGAACUUCACAGGCACAGUUACCCCCUCCCCCUGCAUAUGUGCCCAUAUUAUCUACAUUCUGUUACUAUGAACUGUCUGCUCCUGGCAAAACCAACCUCUCAUUAGACCCCAGACCUUCUCACUUACUGAAGGGUAAUUUCCUUUCUCUGCAUCAUUAACUGUUCUCUCUAAUGGAUCUUGAGCCCUUACCAUUCAGGCGUUUGUCCCAAAUGGCCAUGGAAGUCAGUAGUGACCUCUCUGUUGUCAAAUCAUGUGAUCUGUUCUCAGACCUCAUCCUACUUGGCCCAUCUUUGGCAUCUGACACCGUUCAUCCUUCCACCCUGUUGACACACUGUUCUCUGGUUUCUGAAUCACAAUUCUCACUAUACUCUGAAUGUUCUAAAUACUUCACUGGCUGAUACUUCUGUGUCCAUUGCUGGUUCCUUCUUGGCUCCUCAACUGCUAAACAUUGGCCAUGUUUUUCACUAGCACAGUUGGAGUUGUCUAUGGCUCAGAAUGUGGACAUUUCUUUUCCUCUACAACCACCCCGUGGAUGACCUAAUUUAGUGUCCUGACUUUAACUACCAUCAAUAUCCUGAUGGCUCACAUUUCUCUUGCAGCGCAGAUUUUCCCCUCAACUCUAGUUUUUAUAUCUGUCUUUGUACUCAAAAGCUCCAUAUAGAGAUCUAAUAGGCAUCUAAAAGUGGCAUAUGCAAAUCUGAGUUCCCCAUCCCACCCAGUCCUGUUUUCCCACAAGUGUUCUUUAUCUAGUUAAUGGUGACUCUUAUUCCACUUGUUCAGACCAAACAUAUGCGGUCACUUGUGUCCCCUCUUAUUCUCCUAGUCAACAUCCAAUUGAGCAGCAAGUCCAGUGCUCUCUGCCUUCAAGUUAUAUUGAGAAUGACCACUUUUAGGCCCCUCCUCUGAUACUACAUUGGGUCAAGCCAGCGUCAUCUCUCAGCAUUACUGGGACUUGGGUUAAUUAGGUAAGAUGAAACAUGAAGGAUUAGAAAUAAAGGCUGAAUACAGACUUAAAACCAGGAAUCCAGACUAAACACUCAAACAUGGAGUCCAUUGUGGCCCCAGGGCAUUUGUGCUUCGCAUUCUCUCCAUCUGGAACACUCUGCCAUUGUGUUAGUUGUUCUCUAAAUGCCUUCAGGCAUUCUCAGAAACGUCCUGACUUUGUCUUCCUUCAUGGUACAUGUCAUCACCUGCCUGUGUAUUGUUUCCUUAUUUUUUUCUCUUUCUUUCCUACUAGGCUGUCAGCCCAUCAGAAUGGAGAUUUCUGCCUGCUUCUCCCCUUGGUGUGCUUUGGUUUCUGGAACAGGCCCAGCAUGCAGUGGGGCCUCAGUGAAUGUGCACUGAAGGAGUAGAUACUGGAGAGCACAAACACGUAUCAGGUGGAGAGAGACAGGGUCUCCUGUCAUUCAGGCUGGAGUGCAGUGGUGUGAUCAGCGCUUACUGCAGCCUUGAAUCCUGGGCUUAAGUGAUCUACCUGCCUCAGUCUUCCAAGUAGCUGGGACUACAGGCAGCACAGGAAAGGUGCUUGCUCAGAGUACCCCUCCCUCUGCCUCGUGACCAACCCUGCUGCUUCCCGUGUGGCCCUGCCUUCCUUCUGGGAACUGUGACUAUCUUCAGUUUUACUCAUCUGAUCUGCAAGCCUUAUUAUACCUCAAACUUUUUAUUAAUACACAAGAAAUAGAGUGGCCUGGAAUGACAAGACACUUUGGACACAAGAUAAACAAAUGAGAACAUAUGAACUAUGCACCAUUUUCCAAUAUUCUGAAGAAGUGUAAUAGUUUGAUACAUGAGUUUUUUUCAGGUGAUGGGAAGCACUGUGGCUGUUGGUGGUAUCUGCUGAAGGCGGGGACUUCACUGUGAUGAUGGAGCUCUCUGCCUCAGGUUUCCUGCAGCCCAGCAUUUUUGUAUGAGGCCAUGGUGUUGUGAAUUUUUUGUUCCAAAGAUUCCUGGAUGUGAUCUGCGUGAAUUCCAUGGACAUCAUGAGCUCUUUCCUUCUGUGAUCCUGGUGGUCAUUUAUUAUUUUUUAACCUUCCCGAAAAGAUGCAGUGUGAACCUCGUGAUCAAAGAGCAGCUCCUGGUAGGGCCUUGGUGUCUCCCGCUGGCCCAUGUUGAUUUACAGAUGCCAUAUAAUGUGGUGUAAGGUGGUCUUUCCCUGGGUUUGCAGGCAGCAAUGUGUUGAUGAGUCCUUCUCCCUUUUUUUGACAUUUAUUUUUUUGGAGUCUCGCUCUGUCGCCCAGGCUGGAGUGCAGUGGUGUGAUCUCAGCUCACUGCAAGCUCCGCCUUCUGGGUUCACACCAUUCUCCUGCCUCAGCUUCUCGAGUAGCUGGGACUACAAGCGCCCGCCACCACGCCCGGCUAAUUUUGUUUUUGUAUUUUUAGUAGAGACGGGGUUUCACCAUGUUACCUAGGGUGGUCUCGGCUAGUCUCGAUCUCCUGACCUCAUGAUCUGCCCGCCUUGGCCUCCCAAAGUGCUGGGAUUAUAGGCGUGAGACACCGCGCCUGGCCCCUUCUCCUUCUGAAGAAAGGAACAACUGUAUCUUAUAUUUGCCACACAGUAUUUGUUUCUUCAGCUCCACAAAGGUCUGACAAAUGGUGGGACCUCACCUGUUCUGAUGGGGGCUCCCAUUUCUGCCCCUUCUGGAGGACCAGGAGCACUGUAUUGCCUGCCAGAGCUUGGAAGGGAGGACUCUUCUUCUGUCUCUACAGUUGUGCCAUCUUCCUCCAGCACCAGGAAGAAGGGCUUGUCUGCCAGCAUCAGAGUGCCCUGGACCUGGGGAAUAAGGGUCUUGACUGUUGCCCAAGCUGGAAUGCAGUGGCACAGUCACUGCUCACUGUAGCCUUGACUCUGGAGCUCCACUGAUGCCCCCACCUCUCUGUGCAGCUGUGUGACCUCAGGCAAGUUACUUAACCUCUCUGUGUU